AUGAUGGUUGGUGGGGAUGUUAUGAUAUUAUGAUGAGUAUAAUGAUGGGGUUAAAUGAUUAAUUAUUAGUUGGUAAUUAGUCAUUAAUGAUUGUUGGAUCCUUGAGUUCUAAUGAACCUCUAAGAAAACAGGGAAGGUCAUGGCAGGGCAAUGAGGAAGAGGAUUGUGGUGAUUUUUUUUUUUUUUUUUUGACUCUAUUACAAUGCAGUAUCUGUCUAUUGAAGUACAAAGAGGAGUCAAUAUCGCCUCUCCGAGGCUCGAUCCCACAACCUCUCACAUAAGGGAUCAACUUGACGGUGAUGUUCUAAGCAUGUUAGAAGGACAAACACAACGCAUUAAAAUGUUAACGUUCUAAGCAUGUGAAAAUGUAGAAGUUGAAAGUGUUGAAAUAUGUCAAGUUGAUAGAAUGGAUGCUAAAAUCUUUGAAGAGUAUCAAAGAGUAUUAAAAUGGAGAAAUUAGUGAUUGGAUUCCUACCUUGCCAUGGUUUCUAGAGUUGGACCCGAGAUGGAGAAAGAAGAAGAAUUUGCUCUUGCUUGGAUUGGUAAUUCUUUGGUCUCUCAAGCCACACAGCUCUCUACCAUUAAUGCCACAUUUUUUACUAAAUUAAAAGGGGGGAAGAAAGCCAAAAGAGGGAAAGAAAAAAUUGCCUAUUGUUGAGGACACUUUUCACCCUUUGUCAAAUGAUAUUUUAGAAGAAUUGGAGGAGGAUCAAAUGGCAAGAGCACUCCAAAUUUCAAGAUUGGAAACACAUCUUGCUCCGGGAGAAAUCUCUAUGCCUAUAGUUCAUGUUGAAAGGGAAACUCACGGCACAAGUGACAAUUGUGAAGCUCACAAUUCGGGUAUGAAUGAAGGAGUUCAAGAUCACUUGAGCAAUGAGAGAAAUGUGGAACAAACAUAAGAUCAAGGUGAAAUAAAUCAAGUAAAUGAAGGAGCUCUAAUAGUUGCUACACUCGAGACUCAUUCGAACGAAAGGGAAACAAAUUUGGAGACUCUUUUACUUGAGAUGCUCAAGAAGGUUGAUGAAUUGCAAGGAAGUCUAAAUGCUCAAGUUGACAAUGCCUCAACCACUCAUUCUGAAAGAGAGGUCGCAGAGUAGAAGAUUCCUACCUUAAGUCCUAUAAAAACUUGCAAGAAAUGGUUGAAAGACAACAAGUAAUGGAGAAAAAAGUUGGCAACAUUCACUCUAAGAUGAAAAAGAAUUUAGAAGACUUUAUGCUGUAAUUAAUCAAGGUGAUUGGAGAGGAAAGAAGAAGUGGUGAAGCCUUUACAGUGAAACAAAACAAGAAUAUCCUAAAGGUUGUUCAUCAACAUGAAAAUCAAUUGAGGGAUGUCCAUAAUGAAGUUGGUUCAAUUCCAUAAAUAUCAAAGUGAGUUGCUUAAGGGGUUCGAAUGAUAUGAUGGGAUUCAUUCCUCCAUUUAUGGCUUACGUAGCAUGAUUAUUGAGCUCAUUGAUUAUGCCAAAAAGGGUAAAAAGAGACUCAGUCAUUUAUAAGGUUGAUACGGCGCCAACAAUCGUGGAUCUUGAAGCACUAAACGAUCAUGACAUUGAGGUUUAAACGCCUCCAACAAUCGCAGAUCUUGAAGCACUAAUCGAUCGUGACAUUGUAAGGUUUUACAAUAAAUUGAACUACUCAUUGUAUGCGAAUUUUAUUGAAUAAAAUAAAUGUUUAGGAA